rnacentral:rRNA from 1 species
UACGAAGGGGGCUAGCGUUGCUCGGAAUCACUGGGCGUAAAGGGUGCGUAGGCGGGUCUUUAAGUCAGAGGUGAAAUCCUGGAGCUCAACUCCAGAACUGCCUUUGAUACUGAGGACCUUGAGUACGGGAGAGGUGAGUGGAACUGCGAGUGUAGAGGUGAAAUUCGUAGAUAUUCGCAAGAACACCAGUGGCGAAGGCGGCUCACUGGCCCGUUACUGACGCUGAGGCACGAAAGCGUGGGGAGCAAACAGG